GAUGAAGAACGUAGCGAAAUGCGAUACGUAAUGUGAAUUGCAGAAUUCAGUGAAUCAUCGAGUCUUUGAACGCACAUUGCGCCCCCUGGUAUUCCGGGGGGCAUGCCUGUCCGAGCGUCAUUGCUGCCCUCAAGCACGGCUUGUGUGUUGGGCCUCCGUCCUCCUCCCAGGGGACGGGCCCGAAAGGCAGCGGCGGCACCGCGUCCGGUCCUCGAGCGUAUGGGGCUUCGUCACCCGCUCUUGUAGGCCCGGCCGGCGCUUGCCGACACAUCAAUCUUUUUUCCAGGUUGACCUCGGAUCAGGUAGGGAUACCCGCUGAACUUAAGCAUAUCAAUAAGCGGAGGA
rnacentral:misc_RNA from 1 species